GUGGUUGACAACUUCGGCGGUUGAGUAGUUCCCAUUGAACAGACACAAGGCCAAAACGUCCAGGCUGAGCUGGUAGUAGUUAGUCAGGGGAGUGCCAUUGUGUGCUUCCAUAUUUUCAAUUUCUGCUUGGAAUUUAUUUUCUAGCUUGUCGAUCAGGUGGUAAUCAUAUAUUAAGUUUUCCUCAGCGUUACGACAUACUCCCAAAGCCAGUAUAAUCAAGGCAAGCUCUCCCGAGCUUACAUCUGACACUGAAAAGAAAAGUAUUCAAGCUUAAUAAGGUACAGGCUUGUGAUUUUUUGGGCCUCCUGAUUUCCUUGAGACUUAUAUUGCCUAUCACUUUUUUCUUCUGUUGCGCUCUAUACAGUCUUGUGUCGCUUAAUGAUAGGGAUAAAUUCUGAGAAACUGGUUGUUAAGCGAUUUUGUCAUUGUGCAAACAUCACAGAGUGUACUUACACAACCUAGAUGGUAUAGUUGACUACACACCUAGGCUAUAGGGUACAGCUUGUUGCUCUCAGGCUAAAAACCAGUAUAGCAUGUUACUGUCCUGAAUACUAUAGGCAAUUGUAGCCCAAUAGUAUUUGUGUAUCUAAACAUAUCCAAGCACAGAAAAGGUACAAUAAAAAU
rnacentral:lncRNA from 1 species